GAACCGCUCCGGUUGCCUAGUGAUUAGAGUAUCCGCCUCUGGUGCGGGAGAUCGUGGGUUCAAUUCCCGAUCGAUUCA